AACGCACCUUGCGCUCCUUGGUAUUCCGAGGAGCAUGCCUGUUUGAGUGUCAUUAAAUUCUCAACCCCCCGACGGAUUUGUUUCUGACGUGGGGCUUGGAUGUGAGGGUGUGCUGGACUCCAUUAGGAGGUCAGCUCCCUUUGAAUGCAUUAGCGGAUUUUACCAUCGUGGAUAGGCUUCGGACUGAUAAUUAUCUAUGCCGUCGCCGUGAAGCGGUAAUCUGCUCAUAACCGUCUUUGGACAAUUUUUUGACCAUUUGACCUCAAAUCAGGUAGGACUACCCGCUGAACUUAA
rnacentral:misc_RNA from 1 species